GUAGAUUCGGCCAACGCCGGUGUGAAUCUUAUAUACCUCUCCCUCCUUUUCAUUUCGAUGUCUUACCUACCUGAAUGAAGCCCUAACUCAGGAAUCCCUUUUCCUCUAUUUUCCGGGUUCAUGUCGGGGUCUUCCGGCAACGAUGUUCUUCGGGCUUCCGGCAAGCUCAACAAGCUGAGGAGAGUCUAGCUUCGAGUUGGAGAAUGUUAGAUGGAGAUUGAGUCGUUUUGGGCAGACUGGAGCUGAGGGUUAUAUUUUUGGGUUGCUGUGUUGUUGUUCUUAGCUGUAGGUGGUAUUAAUCAGUUUUCUUUUCUGAUGCAAAUCGACACCAUGUCAGAUUUGGAAUUGAAACAGCAAAGCGAAGCUUUUGUGUUGGUUGACAAGGGUAAGGAUUUCCCUUGUUUUGGCUACUGUCGAAAGGAAAGGGCUAGCAGCUGUGGUGCUCUUGGCUAAGGAGUUAAGUUGAGCCUCAAUUCUCUCUUAAACCCCUUUUGAUCGAUAGGUGAGUUGAUCUUUGAUUUCUGAAAGUUAAUGUUUUGCUUAGUUGCUAGUUUCUGAGUUUCGGUGACGACUUGGUUGUUGUUUGGUUACUGUUUUGUGAAGGAAGAAACUUUAGGAGGACUCAUUGUUGUCAAUUAUACACUUGGGUGUAGAGAGUAAAUAAUGGAGUUUCGGUUCGAUCUAAUUAGAUGAUGUUUAUUGCUCAAUGAUAUGUUAAUAAACCCAGGUUGUAUUUCAUUGUAAUGAGUAUACAUCCAUUUGAUUGAACCAAUUAUAUUUUGGGAUUUUCUAGUUUAACUUCUUCCUUUGAGAUAUCUUUGAAUUGGAAAUAACAACUAAGAGAGGAUAUGAACGUUGAUGGAUAUUUUUACUAUGCUCCACACUGCAUAGAUUUACCAAGCAAAGUGAUACAAAUUUUGAUUAUGUUUGUUCUCUGGUUACAAAAAUGGAUAUGCAGGCAUUACAACAAUGCAUUUUGUGCCAAGGUUGGGGGAGUAAGCAAUGCCGAAUUGAACAGACUAAAAGUGGAGUUCCUUUUCCUGCUGGAUUUUGGAGUCACAGUCAGCUCCAGUGUCUUUGAGAGCUAUUGCUUUCACUUGAAAAAGGAAAUGAUGCUGAAUGGGGCAUGCCAAACAAUUGAAAGGGCUUUAGUACUCCCCAUUAUAGAUGUGGCUGAUGUGCCUGAAAUUGGUUUAAGUUGGUUUCUUUUGGGUUCUUUGUACUUGUUUUGUGUCAAGUGCAUAUUACAUUUUUGCUGCAUUGUUAUUUUCAUUUUGUAUUGUAACUUGGAUACUCACUUUGAUGAGUAUUGUAACUAAGGGUAUAUAUCUUAAUGAAACCAGUAGUAUAUUGUCUCCAAUGUGUUGUGAAAACAAAGAGAUUUGAUUUCUAAAUUUAAUCAAAUGGAGAGUUUAAAUCAAAAGAAUGCAUCACUUAUAUAUAUGUAGCUCAAGCUCAUUCAUACGAUAGAUAAAUGUCGCCUGAAAAUGUCGAAAGCCUAAAAGAUAUCACGUAGUAAAAGCUUAAAGCAUAUCAGACGACAGAUACCUAUUGUCACUACAAAAAAGAAUUCAGUUAGCCACCCCAAAUUGCCACGGUGCGGAUUUGACGUCGCCAUUGGUCCAAGUUUCGCGAUGGCGCUACGUCAGCAACGCUUCCGACAACUCAGCAACACACACAUACUCAUAUAUGUAUAAUGGGAAUUCACAAAGCAUGGCGGUGGUAGUCAUUUCUGCUAUUUUCACAACAGUAGUUCCAUUUCGAUGCAGCUAAGCUUCCAACAAAUUUGUUUUGCUAAUAGAUAUUGAUUGUUAUUGAAUUCUUACCAUCAGGAUGAGUCCGUUCUGAUAUGGUUCUCAGGGAAGGAGGAGAAACACCUUAAACUAAGCCAUGUUUCUAGAAUUAUUUCCGGGCAACGCACUAUAAGUCUCUUUGUAUAUACAACAUCUAUAUUAUAUAUACUUGCAUUGUUAGUAGUGUAUUAUAAAGUUGUUAUGUCAUUAGUGCAUGACAAAUUAAAUGUUGUUGGUUUAAUCAUGGCUCUUGCUCCUUAAGUUUGUUUAAGGUUCAUACAACAGUUUAUUUUGUUGCAUGCCUUUGUAUAUUGUGAGCAUGCCACUUUACAUUGCUUAGUCUUAUCCAGCUGUGUAUAUACUGUUCAGUGUGCCUAUUAUGAGUAUGAUAUAAAACAACAGUUUCGUCCAUAUGUUGCCUCUAAGCUAUCAACGUUUUAUCUAAGCAUCUAGUUUAUCAAGACUCUAAGCUAUCAACGUUUUAUCUAAGCAUCUAGUUUAUCAAGAAGUUCUAAGCUAUCGACUUUACUUUUUGAGUUACUGUUAAAGUGUAAAUU
rnacentral:lncRNA from 1 species